GAUGAACGCUGGCAGCGUGCCUAAUACAUGCAAGUCGAGCGAACGGACGAGAAGCUUGCUUCUCUGAUGUUAGCGGCGGACGGGUGAGUAACACGUGGAUAACCUACCUAUAAGACUGGGAUAACUUCGGGAAACCGGAGCUAAUACCGGAUAAUAUUUUGAACCGCAUGGUUCAAAAGUGAAAGACGGUCUUGCUGUCACUUAUAGAUGGAUCCGCGCUGCAUUAGCUAGUUGGUAAGGUAACGGCUUACCAAGGCAACGAUGCAUAGCCGACCUGAGAGGGUGAUCGGCCACCCUGGAACUGAGACACGGUCCAGACUCCUACGGGAGGCAGCAGUCGGGAAUCUUCCGCAAUGGGCGAAAGCCUGACGGAGCAACGCCGCGUGAGUGAUGAAGGUCUUCGGAUCGUAAAACUCUGUUAUUAGGGAAGAACAUAUGUGUAAGUAACUGUGCACAUCUUGACGGUACCUAAUCAGAAAGCCACGGCUAACUACGUG
rnacentral:rRNA from 1 species